UACGUAGGGUGCAAGCGUUAUUCGGAUUUACUGGGCGUAAAGCGUGCGCAGGCGGCUUUGCAAGUCAGAUGUGAAAUCCCCGGGCUUAACCUGGGAACUGCAUUUGUGACUGCAUGGCUGGAGUGCGGCAGAGGGGGAUGGAAUUCCGCGUGUAGCAGUGAAAUGCGUAGAUAUGCGGAGGAACACCGAUGGCGAAGGCAAUCCCCUGGGCCUGCACUGACGCUCAGGCGCGAAAGCGUGGGGAGCAAACAGG
rnacentral:rRNA from 1 species